GAUGAACGCUCGCGGCAGGCUUAACACAUGCAAGUCGAGGGGCAGCGCGGGAUAGCAAUAUCCUGGCGGCGACCGGCGGAAGGGUGCGUAACGCGUGAGCGACAUGCCCGUUGCCCGGGGACAACCGGUGGAAACGCCGACUAAUCCCCGAUGGGAUACGAUGCUUCAUGGCAUUGUAUUGAAAGUUACGGCGGCGACGGAUUGGCUCGCGUCCGAUUAGCUGGUUGGCGGGGUAACGGCCCACCAAGGCUGCGAUCGGUAGGGGUUCUGAGAGGAAGGCCCCCCAAAAUGGGACUGAGACACGGCCCAUACUCCUACGGGAGGCAGCAGUGAGGAAUAUUGGUCAAUGGGCGGAAGCCUGAACCAGCCAUGCCGCGUGCGGGAAGGAGGCCCUAUGGGCUGUGAACCGCUUUUGCCUGGGGGCAAUAAGGGCGUCGCGCACGUCCGAUGAGAGUACCAGGCGAAUAAGCAUCGGCUAACUCCGUG
rnacentral:rRNA from 1 species